rnacentral:lncRNA from 1 species
CUCCCUUCUAAUUUUGUAAUUUGGAGUUGGAUAAAGGACAGGUAAAGCCAAAAGAGAAGAGUAGGAUAAAAUCACUGAAAGCAAAAUGAGGUGAACAGACUUAAAUAUAAAAUUAUAUUGUAUUGUAGAGCUGCCUGGGCAGGUCAGUUGGUCAAGGUCUGACUCUUGAUAUCGGCUCAGGGCAUGAGUUCAGGAUCUGGAGAUCAAGCCCCACGUUGGGCUCCAUGCUCAGCAUGGAGUCUGCUUGUCCCUCCUCCCUUCUGCCCCUGCUCUCACUCUCUCUAAAUAAAUAAAUUAACAAUUAUAUUGCAUUGUGCAAACAAGCUGGUGUGUGAAAUAAAUAAUGUUGGAGACAGAUGGGGAAAUUGUUUUUAUACUAAGAGCUAAGUUUUAAGCUUGAUGCCUGUUUGAAGUAUCGUGAACAUUCUGCUUUUAUAGGAAAAGGGGUAAAAUUUAUUAAAACAUGACAAUUAUAAUAAAACACAAAUUCUGAAUUAGGUAUUAUACAAUUUUUUAUACAAAAUGUAUACUUUGCAUUUUUGUAAAUGACUGAUUUCAAAGGUUCCCGAAGUUCAUUGUCCUCUUCAUCUGACGUAAGAGCUGCAGAGCAGACAUGGAUAUGGAUGCAUCUGGGAGUGUGUCACAUGGAAACCACACACUUAGCAGAGGUUCAGAAUCUGAGUUCUCAAGUUAUGCAGGCUCUGCCAAGGCCCAGUCUGCCCUGUCCGUGACUGCAGCCCCACCAAUGACCAGGUGUGGUCCCCACAGAGGCCCUUGUAGGUAAGCUGGCAGAGGGUCUAGACUCUGAAUCUUUGAUUGGAAUUUCUAAGCUAUUCUCAUGUUUCUUCCCAGAUCUUGUUAUUGGUUUCUUUUUGUGUGGCAUUGUUAGUGGGAUCAGACCAUUCCUUUCCUUUCCUUUUGCUGUCUUUGCAUUCUUGUUUUUUAUUAUUUUUAAAAGAUUUUAUUUUUCAGUCAGCUCAGCACCCAAUGUGGGGCUCGAACUCACAACCCUGACAUCAAGAGUCACG